rnacentral:lncRNA from 1 species
CACGCCUGGCCGAAAUUCAGUGUUUUAAGUUUAUCAGCCUCAAAUACAUAUAUACAUGUAUUUCUCAGUGUCGAUGCAUGGGAAGCCCAAGCCACAGAGGGGCCCCAGGCAGGUGCUCUGGUCAACAGCUCAAGAUGAAUGUCCACCUGACACCAGCAUCUGUGGCCAGCCAUGUGAGUGAGUCCUCACUGAUGUCCAGUCCAGUCAAGCCUACUGAUGUCUCCAGCACAGAUAGAGACCUCUAUGUAAAAACCACGCAGCCGAGUCCAGGCAGAUGUGCAAGAUGUUUCUUCAAAGCCGCUGGGUUUCGGGUGGUUUGACAAAAAGAACUGGAACAGUCUGUUCACUGCAUCCGCCCCCUCAGUGGUUCCCCUGUGUCCAAACACUCCACUGGGCAAGCUUCAUCACCCAAACCCUGGAUGCAGUUGCUUCCUCGGGGUCUCUAACCACAGGGUCUUGACUCAGGGUUGCUGACAUGCUAGUCUCUGCUAAGAUGCUCACUUCACCUUCUCAUACUGACUGCUGCUCUGACUGAUGCCUGCAUUCCCUUCCUCCUGGAGGCCCUCCCUGAUGACCUCCUCUCUCUAACAGCUGCAGCUCCUUGAGGUCAGGGCCUGUCUCUUCCACUGUGGUGAUGACCUGCACAUAGCAGAUGCUGUAUAAAUUCAAGUUAUAUCAAACCUAGGUCCCAAUCAGUACAAUAGAUUUAGCUUUGGAGUCUCCCAAAUCUCCCUGCUACCACACUGGCUAUUUUCAUUACGAAAUCCGAAGAAUUUCACUUCGGAUGCCACACUUGUCAUUUUAGGUCAAAAAGUGUGAAAUUUUGGCAACUACUCAGGAGGGACCCAGGAGAGUCCAGCAUGGCAUGUGGUCCAAUCCAAAUGGACCUGGGCGGAGCCUGCUGGAGGCUUUGUGAGCUGAGACCCCACUGUGUACCUGGUUACCCUCCUCUGGGAUAUAGAGUCUAUUCACUAAACACUUCCACUUAUUGUUUAUAUUUCUUGAGGGGGAACAUGAGAUUGUGGAAAACACACAGAUGAUGAAACUAUGUGCUUUUUAAGCCAGUACAAUGUGGGAAGUUUUUCCUAUUUAUUAAGAAAUUAUUCAGGGAUAGGGCAGCUUGGUUUAAAUGCAGCCAUAGAUCCUCAUUUCUGGUUCUCUCAUCUGGUCCUCCACCUUCCAAAGCCAGCACACCACCUUUGAAGCUCAGCCUCAAACCCUGGAGUUUAUCCCUUGUCCCUUGAGGACCCAAAGACAAACAGCCUUGGCAAUGCCCUAGUGCCCUGUCCUGCCUCCACUGCAAAGACCAUGGGUUUCCUUUGUCCUCAUAGGUCAUUUGUCAGUUUUUUCUCCAAUCAAAGAUUGGGUCAGACAUAGCCGCUGGGCAACUGACAUGAGAUCUGCAUAUCUGUAAGUAGAAGAGCAAGAAGGCCACCCACUCUUCCUCCUAGUGAACCUGUGGCACAGCAGUUCCAUCUUUAGAGCUCAAUUACAUGCUUGACUACACUACCAAACGUCAAAACAUCAAAAACAGAAAGAAGCCCCUCCACUCCAAGUGAAAUUAAGUUUUAUUUAAACAGAACUGCAAAAUCAGAGGAAGAAAAAUAAUUGGAUGUUUUUCAGCCAGAUAUGUUUCAAGAUUUAGAAAAAUUUCAGAAUGUAGCAAUGCAAAGGUAAAAAUAUUACACUGAUACCACUUGUGACAAUAUCCUAACUGUAUAAUCAAACGUUAAUAUUCUGUGUUUAACCUAAAUAGGAUAAAGAGUCUAAGACCUGUGUGCAAAAUACUGAUUCUAAACAAAAAUUCCCUUUUGAAUUUCAAAUAGAAGUAUUUUUGGCAGUUUAUACCUGGUCUUCACCAGCCAGUAUUUAUCUUUAUUCAAUUCUGCUCCUUCAUAGCCAUAGCCAGCCACCAAAAGAGCAAAAUCCAUUUUUAUACUGCUGCACUGUGGCUCAAACACUUGGGCGAGUAAAAGGAAGGCUGGGGUGAGAAGCUCUAGGAGACACCUGACAGUAACCCACCCUGUCAUCCAAAGGUAUAAAGGCAUCUCUAAAUUCAGUGAAAUGACACACAUUCCAGAUAGAACUUAACAAGAGUAUCUACUGUUAUCAAGGCUCUCAUCUAAAGCUAGCAGAAAUACAAAUUUGCAUAAAUCCUUUUGUCGGCCGACAAAAGGAAAUAGGAGGCCAAUACUAUUUAUUUCCAGAAAAAUAACCAGUUCUACCAGGCUCAUUUACUAAAUAAACUUUCCCCCAC